AGCAAGGGCCGGGCAAGACCGGUGCCAGCCGCCGCGGUAACACCGGCGGCUCGAGUGGUGACCAUUAUUAUUGGGUUUAAAGGGUUUGUAGCCGGCCGGAUAAGUCUCUUGGGAAAUCUGGCAGCUCAACCGUCAGGCUUUCAGGGGAUACUGUCAGUCUCGGGGCCGGGAGAGGUGAGAGGUACUUCAGGGGUAGGGGUGAAAUCUUGUAAUCCUUGAAGGACCACCAGUGGCGAAGGCGUCUCACCAGAACGGACUUGACGGCAAGGGACGAAAGCUAGGGGCGCGAACCGGAUUAGAUACCCGGGUAGUCCCAGCCGUAAACGAUACUCGUUAGGUGUAGGGCACGGUGCGAGUCACGUAGGUGCCGAAGGGAAACCGUGAAACGAGCCACCUGGGAAGUACGGCCGCAAGGCUGAAACUUAAAGGAAUUGGCGGGGGAGCACCACAACGGGUGGAGCUUGCGGUUUAAUUGGAUUCAACGCCGGAAAUCUUACCGGGACCGACAGC
rnacentral:rRNA from 1 species